ACAGCCUAGCCAGUAUUCACAAUCAUAUGGCAUUCACAUCACAUUUAAUGUGAUGCAUUUCUGACUGAAACAAAAUUUUCAGAGAAAAAUAAUGACUUGAUUUUAUCCAUGGGGUUUUGAUUGGAUUGUGAAAACAGGGCUGUGAUAUUAUUGGUCCUCUCCAUCAGUGGCUGUCACAGUCUCUGUCCUCCCCAUUGGACCGGCACUAUCUGGAGGAUUGCACAGAGCUGGAAAACAAUAAAUGAGUGUCUAUCAUCUUGAGAUGAUAAGCAUCUGGUGCUAGAGGUAAUAAUGAGAUAAGAAUGAGAUCUGGGGCCUUCAUGCACUUGGCAGAAUUUCACCCUAAAAGUAAGGGAACGCACAGGCGGCAGAUUCUGAUUUUGCACAAAGGGCUUAUAAAACUAACAAUCAACCCUGUCUCUGACUCGUUUCAGUCGCUCUGCCAAGUGUAGCGUUUUAUGUGCUGCAAAAUGUGAAAGGUUUUCUAUGGGUCUUAAAAAGGUCUUAAAAUGUCUUAAUUCACCCUUCCACAAAUAAAGGCCUAAAAAAUGUCUUAAAUCGGAGUAGAAAGUCAAAACUUCAUAAAGUCAUGGCAUUAAAUGUUGCAGGCACUGAAAAAAAAUAAUAAAAUAA